AUGCUGUUCGGCGUGCACAAGUUCUCCAAGAAGCUGCUGCGCCCCAACGCCAUCCCCAACAACGAACUGCUCGACUUCCUCUCGCGUGUGCCCGAUAACGAUCAGCUGCGCCAGUUCCGCGAGCUGCGGCCGGCGCAGGUGACCGACGCUGAGCGGCGCCGCGAGCAGCGCAUGAAGCAGUCGCAGAAGAAGACGUCCUAGGACGCCGCCGACGUCACCGCAUCUCGCCGUUCGUCAUCGUCAUCAUCAUGCUGUCGCCAAUUGUUGUGGCUUCCAGUCCGGGGCUCGCGGAUCCUGGCACCUUUGUUAGGCUGAAGUUUUAUCCACUCAUUGCUCUCUUGCCAGUGGUCUGUAGGCAUUGCGUUUGUGUGGAACGAGUGGUACGUCUCAGAUCAAAGGAUGAGUGGACGUAAUUGCUCGCAGAGUGCAUUUUAAGUGUUUCAUUCGAGUGCAUUUUUGUUACGUCCAUGUACUUACAUAUACCAUAUCCGUUCAUUUUAUCUAUUAGCCAGUUUUGGUUAGUCUCCUGGGUCUGAGAGCGGCAGUAAGAAUU